AUUAUUUUGGCAGACUAGUGCUUUGAAUUUAGAAUUCAAUUAUAUAAAUUUAUUUUUAUAAAUAAUA
rnacentral:tRNA from 1 species